rnacentral:rRNA from 1 species
CCGCGGUAAUACGUAGGUGGCAAGCGUUAUCCGGAAUUAUUGGGUUUAAAGGGUCCGUAGGCGGCUUUAUAAGUCAGUGGUGAAAGCCCAUCGCUUAACGAUGGAACGGCCAUUGAUACUGUAGAGCUUGAAUUACUUGGAAGUAACUAGAAUAUGUAGUGUAGCGGUGAAAUGCUUAGAUAUUACAUGGAAUACCAAUUGCGAAGGCAGGUUUCUACAAGUGGAUUGACGCUGAUGGACGAAAGCGUGGGGAGCGAACAGG